AGUAACGGCGAGUGAAGAGGAAUUAGCCCAGCACCGAAGCUUGCAAUUAUUUGAUUGUUAAGCAAUGUGGUGUUAAGGUGUGUCUUUUGCGUACUGCUCUAUCCUAAGUCCAAUUAUGAGUAUGGCAAUUGGAUUGGCCCAAAGAGGGUGUUAGGCCCGUUUGGAUAGAGAUCAGGCAAGCCAGUAUUAGCUCAAGACAAACCUUGGAGUCGGGUUGUUUGUGAAUGCAGCCCAAAGUAGGUGAUAAACUUCAUCUAAGGCUAAAUACUAACACGAGUCCGAUAGCGAACAAGUACCUUGAGGGAAAGUUGAAAAGUACUUUGAAGAGAGAGUAAACAGUACGUGAAACCGUUUAGAGGUAAACAAGUGGAGCUGAACUGGAAGCCUUGAGAAUUCAGCUGAUGAGUAUGGUGUGUUGGCUGGCGCUUGGAGUCUGCUUAGCUGCAGGUUUUUACUUUUAAAGUGAAAAUUGGCGAUUCGUGUAACAGACGGUGCCUGCUCUAAAGUGUAACUAGUCAGCUUGUCAGUGCACUUUCUUUAGGUGUUCACCACAACCGGCGCAGUUGUCUAUUUGUUAUGAUUGAAUCGGCUUGGUUUGGUACUUGUACUGGGCUUGGUCGACAAGGCAGGUGGCUUGUUUGUAUUGGUUGUUUAAUUUAAUGUUGAACAAUCAAUGCUUGUGAGUUUAAUCAGCCAAUCAUAAUGUUGGAUUUGUGCAAUGUGUCGGGGGCGACGGGUUUUAACAGGGGUGUCAUAGUUGAUGGGGGUGAUUAGAUUUGGUUGACGUUUUACUUGCUUAACUGUUGGGUGCGUUAACAAUCUAAUUGUUCACAUUGAUGGUGAUGCCAAUUGCAACUUGUUAAGGCCGAAAGUUUGUGGUGUUGUGGUAGGUCAUCCACUUGACCCGUCUUGAAACACGGACCAAGGAGUUUAACAUGCGUGCAAGUCAUUGGGUGUUACGAAACCCACAGGCGCAGUGAAAGUGAAGGUUUUGAGCUGAGGUGUGAUCUUGUUGCUUGUUGUUGCAUGUGUUUGUGCACAUGUGUAUGCAUGCAGGGGCGCAACACCGGCCUGUCUUAUAAUGUGUUUCAUUGGGGCGGAGCUUGAGCAUGCAUGUUGAGACCCGAAAGAUGGUGAGCUAUACUUGCGGAGGCUGAAGUCGGGGGAAAUUCUGAUGGAAGGCUGAAGCGAUUCUGACGUGCAAAUCGAUCGUCUAACGUGAGUAUAGGGGCGAAAGACUAAUCGAACCAUCUAGUAGCUGGUUCCCUCUGAAGUUUCCCUCAGGAUAGCUGGUGUUCAAAAGGAAGUAAACAGUUUUAUCCGGUAAAGCGAAUGAUUAGAGGCAUUGGGGAUAAAAUGUCCUCAACCUAUUCUCAAACUAUAAAUGGGUGAGAAGCUGUGCUCGCUUAAAUGGAGUGCAGCGUUGAAUGUGAAUGCCAAGUGGGCCAAUUUUGGUAAGCAGAACUGGCGCUGUGGGAUGAACCAAACGUUCGGUUAAGGUGCCUAAUGUAACGCUCAUGAGACCCCACGAAAGGUGUUGGUUGAUCUAGACAGCAGGACGGUGGCCAUGGAAGUUGGAAUUCGCUAAGGAG
rnacentral:rRNA from 1 species